rnacentral:rRNA from 1 species
GUCUCAGGCCAUACCACCCUGAGCAUGCCCAAUCCCGUCUGAUCUCGAAAGCUAAGCAGGGUCAGGCCUGGUUAGUACUUGGAUGGGAGACCACCUAGGAAGACCAGGUGCUAUAGGCA